UUGGCCCUACUUGCCCGCAGUUUCGAAUCUCGAAAGAAAAUUGAGAAAUUCACGGGAAUAUUACCUGCGAACUCCUUCCCCCCUUAAUCGCUGCUGUCUCAUGCUAUUUCCGAUGUGUUUCAUUUGCUCCCUUCUCUAGAGACCGUUCCGUUUGGUCCUGAACGCACUUUCAACUGAGAUUUCGUUCAGAGCGCUAUGCUUUGUUGAAUGGAGUAUUCCUUUGUCUUGAAUCCGGUCAACAGUUCUUCCCUUCGCUCUUCACCGUUUGCAGUUCCAACUCUUUUUCCACCGUUUCCUAUCUCACAAAAGAGUCAAGUGCAUCCUCUAAAUUUACUGCAUUGGAUUCAAAAGGACAUAUUUGGACUAUGGCGGCUGGAGAAGGUGCAAGUGUUAGUCAAGUUGAUAUUGUAAUUUGUAAGUUACCAAGUUUAUGGACUUAUUCCAAGGUUAAUGGAAGGUUAGCAGGUAUUUUGAUGACUGAAUUUACCUUUUCUUUUUCUAGGUUUAAGAUUAUUCAUGUUAAUCAUGUUCAUUUGAUCACAUUUGAUGUCUCAUUCCUGAUGCGUUGCUUAUGCUUCAAUUUUCAAGGAAGUUUCCAAAUUAUGCUAAGCAUGAGGAUUGAGCAACCAUUUUGGUUCUUUAUUUGAAGGAAGUGCAAUGAUAUUACAUUUUGUAUUCCUAUUCCAACUAUUAGUUGGGGAUUCUCCAUCGAAUUCUCAGUUUGCAUGAAUAUGGAAUUGCAGCUGUAGUUAGGGAUUCUAUUAGUAGCCUUUCAGAGGCUAUUGGAAGUACCAACUUUGGAGCAUAUUUUGAAACCCCUUGUGGUCGUCUCUUGAUUAAACCCAAUAUACGGAAAUGAUUUCGCACGAGUUCAGACAUAUGGGUUGAUUGGGCUGGUGCAUUGAAACACCAGAAAGUAAAAAUGCAUGGUAUCUUGGUUAAAAAAAAAGGAGGAGGAGGAAAAGAUAGUUAUAUUGUUAUUCUUCUCUCCUGAUGGAUUGGAAUGAAGUUCUUGAUAAUUUAUUAUGAUUUUUUUGGUUCAAGCUUGAUUGAAGGUUGUUUUUUCCUGCAUUAUCAGUUUUCAUGUUCUUAUUGUUCUCCUUCGUCCAUUCUUCUCAGCACUUAGAAGACCAAGGAGUGUGGUGUACAUUUUACUCUGAUAUCUUACUUUGUGUUACGUUUGACAAGCUACUCAAUACUUAAUUCUAUUAGUUAUCAACUGAGUGAAAAUCUUUGCAUCAGCAGCACAUGAGGGACUCUAAAAAUCAGUGAGAAAUAGGAGAUGAAAGAUUUGUUGGAGUAAACAUGUGAUGCAGAACAGAAGAGGGUUGUUUUUGGGGGAGGAUAGAGGUGAAGGGGGAAUAAAUUCCGUAGGCUUCUGGUAGAUGGUAUCUCAA